AAACCAUGAUGAGGGCAUUGAAGAAACAAGUCCUUAUAUCGCUCCCAAUUCUCAUGAAAUUGUUCACCAUCUUGCUGCCGGAAACCCAUAAUUUCAUUAAUUAAAGCAU